rnacentral:lncRNA from 1 species
CGUGUUCGACCCCCUCGGUUUUAUAAUUUUUUUUUUGUAUAUACGUAUUCGACCCCCGGUUUUCUAUUAUGUAGCCCAAAUAAAAUACUUAAUUAGCCCAAAUCAAUUUAUUAUACACCAAAAUCAUACAAGCCCAAAAUAAAAGCCUACCAUCCAAAAAAAAAAAAAAACCCAAAUUCAGUCCUGGUGGAAUACGAGCAUAACCAGUCGCACGCACAGAACAGAAGGGGGCAAAGAAACCCCAAAUCGCUGCUGACCUGCUGUUGUUGUUCGAGUCCGAGGGCAGGGGUCUUGAACUUGCUCGAUUUCUUCACGAAUCACGGCUCAUCCUCAGGUUGAAAUUGGGGGUGAAUUUUAGCCCUAAACUUGUUGAAAUUGUCAAUCUUCGACGAAUUCUUCUUGAAUCUUCAUAAGGUAUGUAUUAUGCUAUGGGAUUGACCGGCUGCUGCUGUGCCUGCUCUUGUUCGACUGCAAGCUGCUGCGCUACUUGUUGUGGUCUUGUUUGACUUCUUCAAUCUUCAUAAGGUUAAAGGUAUGUGUUUUUCUAUCUUUAGGUUUAAUUUAGGGCUACAAUUUAUGUGAUUUAGGUUGAAAUUAGGGGAGAAUUUUAACCCUAAACUUGUUGAAAUUAGGGGUAGAACUAUAAUUCUUCAGGCAGAAAUUAGGGCAGAACUGAAUUUUAGCCCUAAACUUGUUGAAAUUAGAGGUGAAUUUUAGCCCUAAACUUGUGAUUUAGGUAGAAAUUAGGGGCAGAACUGAAAUUAGGGCU